rnacentral:rRNA from 1 species
UACGAACCACACAAACGUUAUUCGGAAUUACUGGGCUUAAAGGGUGCGUAGGCUGCGCAGAAAGUUGGGUGUGAAAUCCCUCGGCUCAACCGAGGAACUGCGUCCAAAACUACUGUGCUCGAGGGAGACAGAGGUGAGCGGAACUUAGGGUGGAGCGGUGAAAUGCGUUGAUAUCCUAAGGAACACCCGUGGCGAAAGCGGCUCACUGGGUCUCUUCUGACGCUGAGGCACGAAAGCUAGGGUAGCGAACGGG